rnacentral:rRNA from 1 species
UGGGAAUUUGGACAAUGGGCGAAAGCCUGAUCCAGCAAUGCCGCGUGUGUGAAGAAGGCCUUCGGGUUGUAAAGCACUUUUGUCCGGAAAGAAAUCCUUGGCUCUAAUACAGUCGGGGGAUGACGGUACCGGAAGAAUAAGCACCGGCUAACUACGUGCCAGCAGCCGCGGUAAUACGUAGGGUGCAAGCGUUAAUCGGAAUUACUGGGCGUAAAGCGUGCGCAGGCGGUUUGCUAAGACCGAUGUGAAAUCCCCGGGCUCAACCUGGGAACUGCAUUGGUGACUGGCAGGCUAGAGUAUGGCAGAGGGGGGUAGAAUUCCACGUGUAGCAGUGAAAUGCGUAGAGAUGUGGAGGAAUACCGAUGGCGAAGGCAGCCCCCUGGGCCAAUACUGACGCUCAUGCACGAAAGCGUGGGGAGCAAACAGGAUUAGAUACCCUGGUAGUCCACGCCCUAAACGAUGUCAACUAGUUGUUGGGGAUUCAUUUCCUUAGUAACGUAGCUAACGCGUGAAGUUGACCGCCUGGGGAGUACGGUCGCAAGAUUAAAACUCAAAUGAAUUGACGGGGUC